rnacentral:rRNA from 1 species
UACGUAGGGUGCGAGCGUUUAAUCGGAAUUACUGGGCGUAAAGCGUGCGCAGGCGGUGAUGUAAGACAGGUGUGAAAUCCCCCGGGCUUAACCUGGGAACUGCAUUUGUGACUGCAUCGCUGGAGUGCGGCAGAGGGGGGAUGGAAUUCCGCGUGUAGCAGUGAAAAUGCGUAGAUAUGCGGAGGAACACCGAUGGCGAAGGCAAUCCCCUGGGCCUGCACUGACU